GCCGGCUCCCGCCGAGACUGCCGCCCGCACCCGGCCAGCCCCCGCCCCCGGCCCUGCACUCCCAUCCCGCUCCGUGAAACCGAAAUAUUUAUUGUUGGAUUUAUCCAGGAAGGCUGUUCUGCAUUAGUUAAAUGCAUCAUAUCUUCAAGAAAUGUUAAAUGACAUGGAUGCUUCCAGCCCUGAAGCAUCAGACUCCAGGUUCUUUGGCUUUUGGACUCUUGGAGUUACACCAGUGGUUUCCCAGGAACUCUCCAGCCUUGGGCCACAGACUGAAGUUUGCACUGUCGGCUUCCCUGCUUUUGAGGUUUUGUGACUCAGACUGAGCCAACUGGCUUCCUUGCUCUUCAGGUUGCGGACGGCCUAUCGUGGGACUUUGCCUUGUGAUUGUGUGAGUCAAUUGUCCUUAAUAAACUGCCUUUCAUAUAUACAUCUAUCCUAUUAGUUCUGUCCCUCUGGAGAACUCUGACUGCUGAUACACAUAGCAAGACCCCGUCUCUAAAAAAAAGAGAGAAAGGCACAUUGGAAAAUAGAGAAUAGAUCAAGAAAACAAUCCACUCAUAAUUCCAUUACCCUAUCACUACCACUAGUAGCAUUCCAAAAAGGUUUUCAUUAUUAAUUCAGGUUGGUGCUAUAGUGGGUACACAGGGUCAAGGGGAAGGUACCUGCAAAGUCUAAGUGAAGCAAAGACUAUCCUUUGAGAAUGAAAUUAGGAAAAAUUGUUGAGAUCAGCCCUCUAUAGCAAUGGCCCAAUCUAUGAAACUGAAAUAACUUUGCUGAGACAUUUCAGCUUUCUCAUCUGUAAAAUGGCAAUAAUACUUGAAUUCCCUCCUUUUCAGACUUGUUGUGAGAUUAAAAUAAAAUAAUAAAAAGCAACAAAUUAUAAAGUCAUUAGUAAAUGGAUGUAUCCUACUGUGUCAUGAUUAUCCAAUUUAUUUAAAUGACAUAGGCAAUCAAAUUUCAUAAUUCAGGAUUUAAAAAAUUGUACUUGGGGCCUCUCAAUUCCUUUCCUGUCUGAUUUGGUGAAAUAUAAUAGGUAGGUAGUUGGUAAAUAAGUCUUGUUUCUCACAGGUUGUAUAUAUCUAUCUGGUUGGAAAUAAAAUAAAGAUAUGGCAGACUAAUGCCUAUUUGCACGUGCUUUUAGAACAUCUCUACUGUACUGUAGCACCAUUAGAUGAUUAGUAUUAGUAACUAAUGCUCUGGAAGUAUGAGAAUAAUAAAAUAAUGAUGAAAAC
rnacentral:lncRNA from 10 species